rnacentral:rRNA from 1 species
UACGGAGGGUGCAAGCGUUAUCCGGAUUCACUGGGUUUAAAGGGUGCGUAGGCGGGCAGGUAAGUCAGUGGUGAAAUCCCCGAGCUUAACUUGGGAACUGCCGUUGAUACUAUCUGUCUUGAAUACUAUGGAGGUAAGCGGAAUAUGUCAUGUAGCGGUGAAAUGCUUAGAUAUGACAUAGAACACCAAUUGCGAAGGCAGCUUGCUACACAGUUAUCGACGCUGAGGCACGAAAGCGUGGGGAUCAAACAGG